rnacentral:tRNA from 1 species
GAGGGUACAGCUCAGCGGUAGAGUGUGUACUUAGCAUGUAUGAGGUCCUGGGUUCAAUCCCCUGUACCUCCA